rnacentral:lncRNA from 1 species
CCAAUAAUGACGACACAUUUUGUAUUCUUAUUCUUAUUCUUUCUAAACCUUUCCCUUCCAUCUUCGAAGCAAUGCUGGGUAUUAGUUCCAAGGCAGAAAAGCAGAACGGGCUCGGUAAUUGGAAUGAAGUGACCUGUUCAGGGUCACACAGUCUGAGACCAGAUUUGGACCAUCUCUAGACCUGGCUCUCAAUCCACUGGGUCUCCUAGCUGCCCCCAACACCAAUACAUUAGGACCAAUAAUUAUCAUAAUUAUUGGAAAUAUUAGUAUGCCCACGUGAUUAAUAUUAAUAAGUAUUCAUAAUUGCCAUUGGCAAUAUUAUUCUAGAAUACACAUGCAUCAUUAUUAACGAUAAUUAUUGAUAACUAUUAUCACCAACAUUAUUGAUGAUGAUAAUGACAAUAUAAUGCUUGUAGAUAACACUUUUAGGUUUGCAAAUUGGCUUACAUAUGUGGGAUGGCAGCCUCAUCCCUCCCCUAGUCUGAAGCGUGGAUGGGUGAGCCAGCAGCAAUUUUCUGAGAUUACUGGCUAUCCAUCAAAAGAACCCCGUUCUCCUGACCUGUUGAAGUCAGGAAGUUCUGGCUGUUCUCUUGCCUGUUUUGCUAGUGAAGAAACUGGCUUUCAAAGAAGUCAAAUGACUUACCUUGGGAAAUUGUUUCAGAAAGAAGAAAUGACCCCCAAGUAUCACAGGGCUUAGACAUGGGCAGGUUUUUAAGAGAUUUUCUAACUGGUCCCUUAUUUGAAAGAAGCCCAUACAGGUGAAAAGACUUCCUUCCUUCCCUUCCUUUCUCUUUGUCUUUCUGUCUCUCUGUCUUUCUUUCUUUCCUUCUUUCUUUCCUUGUCUUUCUUUCUUCCUCCCCCCUCCCUUCCUUCCCUUUUCUUUUUCUUUCUCUUUCUCUCUUCCUUCCUUUUUUGUCUUUCUCUUUCUGUCUCUUUCUCUUUCCCUCUCUUUCUGUCUGCCUCUUCCUUCCUUUCCUUCUUUUUCUUUCCUUCUUUCUUUCCUUCUUCCUUCCUUUCCUUCUUUUUCUUUCCUUCUUUCUUUCCUUCCUCCCUUUCUUUCUUUCUUUCUUUCUUUCUUUCUUUCUUUCCUUCUUCCUUCCUUCCUUCCUUUCCUUCUUUUUCUUUCCUCCUUUUUCCUUCUUUCUUUCCUUCCUCCCUCCCUUUCUUUCUCUUUCUUUCUUUCUUUCUUUCUUUCUUUCUUUCUUUCUUUCUUUCUUUCUUUCUUUCUUUCUUUCUUUCUUCCUUCCUUCCUUCCUUCCUUCCUUCCUUCCUUCCUUCCUUCCUUCCUUCCUUCCUUCCUAUCUAUCAAUACUGUGUAUUGGUUCCAAGCAGAAGAGCCAUUAAGGUCUAGGCAACUGGGGUAAAAUGACUUUGAACCCAAGAUCUUCUAUUUCUAGACCUGGCUCUCAAACCACUGAGCCACUGAGCUGCCUCCAAGAAGGAACUGUCUAAAGAUCACUUAGCUAAUUAGGCAUGCUAGUCAGAAUUAGGCCUGGCACCCACGUUUUCUGCUUCUUUCCAGAAGCAAAUCCUAAAUCCUCUUCUAUUAUUCCCUCUCAAUCAGGUUAUAAAAUAGUUUUACUUGUCCAGAACAUGGAUGUGAUUUAAUUUUUUUAAUGUUCUAUAUAAAUAUGGGUGUUGAGAGAAAAAAAGAGAUAACCUUAAAAAUAUAUAUUGGACAAAUCAAUAUAUAUUUGAAAACAAAACCAUAUAUGUGUGUGUGUAUCUAUUCAAGUGAACAAUUACUUCUGGAUAUCCUCUGUCUCCUCGGUGGUCUUCCUUUGCAAUGAAAAAAAAAGGAACAGUUAAGCAAAACUAUGAGACUAGUAUGUGUCAGCGUAUGCAGCACUUCCAACCAUAGUCCUCUACCUCUUCAAGAAAAGACGAAGAGGGGGCAGCUGGGUAGCUCAGUGGAUUGAGAGCCAGGCCUAGAGACGGGAGGUCCUAGGUUCAAAUCUGGCCUCAGACACUUCCCAGCUGUGUGACCCUGGGCAAGUCACUUGGCCCCCAUUGCCUAGCCCUUACCACUCUUCUGCCUUGGAGCCAAUACACAGUAUUGAGUCUAGGAUGGAAGGUAAGGGUUAUUAAAAAAAAAAGAAAAGACAAAGAAUAUUUCCUCUCCUCUUUGCCCGCUGACUUCGCUUCUCUCGUGCCCAUUGCCGCUUUCCUCCAAUCAUGGUGAACAUUCAGAGGGAGUAAAGACCAGGCGUUGUAGGAAGGAUGAGGAACUGCAGCCACUUGUAGUCUCCCCAUCCCACCUGGAGAAUCUGUCAUGCCAUUUCUGAGUCAAUGAGUCUCUCUGAUUCCCUGAGGCCGGAGCACCAGCAUCCUAGGACAAAGGGAUACUCAAG